AAUUAUGAAAGCAAAAAAUUAUGGCGGUAUUUUAAGCUUUUCAGAGGAAUUUGCUCUUUAAUGGAUAAAACACCUAAAUCUUACUUAAAUUUGUUAUUUCAAUUUGUAUACCACUAUAAAAAUAAUUAAUAACUUUAAUUAUUUAAAUUUACUAAAUUAAAUUAUAUUAAGUCAAGGUGCAGUAAAAAUUUAAGAAUGAAGUGAAUUACAUUACUUUUUAGAGAAAAGAAAUUAAAUUUAUAUUUAGGAUUUGAAAGUAAAAUUAAAAUAGAAUGUUAAUUUGAAUCAAGCUCUAAAAUAUGUACACAUCGCCCGUCGCUCUCAU
rnacentral:rRNA from 1 species